CGCUUAACACAUGCAAGUCGAGCGAGAAGGUGUAGCAAUACACUUGUAAAGCGGCGAACGGGUGAGGAAUGCAUGGGUAACCUACCCUCGAGUGGGGAAUAACUAGCCGAAAGGUUAGCUAAUACCGCAUACGUUUCCGGGACUUCGGUUCAGGAAAGAAAGCAAUGCCGUGGGUAUUGCGCUCAUGGAUGGGCUCAUGUCCUAUCAGCUUGUUGGUGAGGUAACGGCUCACCAAGGCUUCGACGGGUAGCUGGUCUGAGAGGACGAUCAGCCACACUGGCACUGCGACACGGGCCAGACUCCUACGGGAGGCAGCAGUAAGGAAUAUUGCGCAAUGGACGACAGUCUGACGCAGCGACGCCGCGUGGGGGAUGAAGGUCUUCGGAUUGUAAACCCC
rnacentral:rRNA from 1 species